rnacentral:rRNA from 1 species
CAUGCAAGUCGAACGCAUCUUGGGGGGCAACUCCCGAGAUGAGUGGCGAACGGGUGAGUAACACGUGAGUAAUCUUCCCUCGAGUGAGGAAUAACUCCGCGAAAGCGGGGCUAAUACUGCAUAACACUCUGGAGCACAAGCUUUCAGAGUCAAAGCCGCAAGGCGCUUGAGGAUGAGCUUGCGUCCUAUUAGCUAGUUGGUAGGGUAAUGGCCUACCAAGGCGAUGACGGGUAGCUGGUCUGAGAGGACGGACAGCCACACUGGCACUGAGACACGGGCCAGACUCCUACGGGAGGCAGCAGUGAGGAAUAUUGCGCAAUGGGGGAAACCCUGACGCAGCAACGCCGUGUGGGCGAAGAAGGUCUUCGGAUAGUAAAGCCCUUUUCUCCCGGACGAGAAAGGACGG